UGAAGCUUGCAGCUCCCAUUACAUCGCUAUGACCAAGAAGGGUAAAAGAAUAACAAAGAAACAGCACUAACAAAGUUUAGACACAUAAAUUUUGAAGGUCUAGCUACCUUAUUAUUACCCACAAGGGUAAAGGAACAGGACCACUACUGGAUAAUUGGAAAGUCCCUGUGUGUCAACCUCUGUGCUCCGUGGCAAGGUAGACUAGCAAACAGGCCCAACCUUUACUCACAUUCGAGAAAACACUCCUAACAAGAUUGCUUGCUUCAAGAUCAAAG
rnacentral:lncRNA from 1 species